AUUGAACGCUGGCGGCAGGCUUAACACAUGCAAGUCGAGCGGGGGAAGGUAGCCUGCUACCGGACCUAGCGGCGGACGGGUGAGUAAUGCUUAGGAAUCUGCCUAUUAGUGGGGGACAACAUCUCGAAAGGGAUGCUAAUACCGCAUACGUCCUACGGGAGAAAGCAGGGGAUCUUCGGACCUUGCGCUAAUAGAUGAGCCUAAGUCGGAUUAGCUAGUUGGUGGGGUAAAGGCCUACCAAGGCGACGAUCUGUAGCGGGUCUGAGAGGAUGGUCCGCCACACUGGGACUGAGACACGGCCCAGACUCCUACGGGAGGCAGCAGUGGGGAAUAUUGGGCAAUGGGGGGAACCCUGAACCAGCCGUGCCGCGUGUGUGAAGAAGUCCUUAUGGUUGUAAAGCACGUUAAGCGAGGAGGAGGCUACUCUAGUUAAUACCUAGGGAUAGUGGACGUUACUCGCAGAAUAAGCACCGGCUAACUCUGUGCCAGCCGCCGCAGUAA
rnacentral:rRNA from 1 species